GACGAAGGGGGGCUAGCGUUGUUCGGAAUUACUGGGCGUAAAGCGCGUGUAGGCGGUUGUUCAAGUCAGGUGUGAAAGCCUUGAGCUCAACUCAAGAAAUGCACUUGAUACUGGAUGACUAGAGGACCGGAGAGGAUAGUGGAAUUCCCAGUGAUAGUGGUGAAAUACGUUGAGAUAUUGGGAAGAACACCAGUGGGCGAAGGC
rnacentral:rRNA from 1 species